rnacentral:tRNA from 1 species
GCCUGGGUGGCUCAGUUGGAAGAGCAUGGGACUCUUGAUCCCAGAGUCUUGAGUUCCAGGUC